AUUGAACGCUGGCGGAAUGCUUUACACAUGCAAGUCGAACGGCAGCACGGGUGCUUGCACCUGGUGGCGAGUGGCGAACGGGUGAGUAAUACAUCGGAACGUACCCAGUCGUGGGGGAUAACGUAGCGAAAGUUACGCUAAUACCGCAUACGUCCUGAGGGAGAAAGCGGGGGACCGUAAGGCCUCGCGCGAUUGGAGCGGCGGAUGGCGGAUUAGCUAGUUGGUGGGGUAAAGGCCUACCAAGGCGACGAUCCGUAGCGGGUCUGAGAGGACGGCCCGCCACACUGGAACUGAGACACGAUCCAGACUCCUACGGGAGGCAGCCGUGGGUCAUUUUGGACAAUGGGCGAAAGCCUGCUCCCUCCAUUCCGCGUGAGUGAAGAAGGCCUUCGGGUUGUAACGCUCUUUCGUCAGGGAAGAAACGGCUUCUGCUCCUACCCCGGGCUAAUGACGGUACCUGAAGAAGGAGCACCGGCUAACUACGUGCCAGCAGCCGCGGUAA
rnacentral:rRNA from 1 species